AAGACUAUACUUCUAGGGAUCAUUUCUAUAGUUUGUUACUAGAGAAGUUUCUCUGAACGUGUAGAGCACCAGAAACCACUAAAAGAUGCAGCAUUCUCUCCUGAACGGGAAGCCAGCUUUUGGCGUUGCUUUGCCACAACUGCCAUUUGCUGUUGAUGAUAAUUCCUCACUUCCUCUGGGAGUAUAAGAGGGGGAGGAUGCAUUUAGAGUGGU
ensembl:snoRNA U3 Small nucleolar RNA U3